ACCGUCUGAAAAUUACCUCAGAUGUACCAGUUGUCUGUGGUGAGAUAACUGUGCCGACAGUAUUGUGGUACGUUAAGCUUAUUGCCUGCUUUGUAUAGCAGUGUGAUUAAACCCAUGUCCCCACAUUA
ensembl:snoRNA